AUGAACGCUGGCUGCGUGCCUAAUACCUGCCAGUCGAGCGAACGGACGAGAAGCUUGCUUCUCUGAUGUUAGCGGCGGACGGGUGAGUAACACGUGGAUAACCUACCUAUAAGACUGGGAUAACUUCGGGAAACCGGAGCUAAUACCGGAUAAUAUUUUGAACCGCAUGGUUCAAAAGUGAAAGACGGUCUUGCUGUCACUUAUAGAUGGAUCCGCGCUGCAUUAGCUAGUUGGUAAGGUAACGGCUUACCAAGGCAACGAUGCAUAGCCGACCUGAGAGGGUGAUCGGCCACACUGGAACUGAGACACGGUCCAGACUCCUACGGGAGGCAGCAGUAGGGAAUCUUCCGCAAUGGGCGAAAGCCUGACGGAGCAACGCCGCGUGAGUGAUGAAGGUCUUCGGAUCGUAAAACUCUGUUAUUAGGGAAGAACAUAUGUGUAAGUAACUGUGCACAUCUUGACGGUACCUAAUCAGAAAGCCACGGCUAACUACGUG
rnacentral:rRNA from 1 species